AGCAGUGCCGCGGUAAUACGUAGGUGGCAAGCGUUGUCCGGAAUUAUUGGGCGUAAAGCGCGCGCAGGUGGUUUAAUAAGUCUGAUGUGAAAGCCCACGGCUCAACCGUGGAGGGUCAUUGGAAACUGUUAAACUUGAGUGCAGGAGUGAAAAGUGGAAUUCCUAGUGUAGCGGUGAAAUGCGUAGAGAUUAGGAGGAACACCAGUGGCGAAGGCGGCUUUUUGGCCUGUAACUGACACUGAGGCGCGAAAGCGUGGGGAGCAAACAGGAUUAGAUACCCCAGUAGUCCCUGUCUCUUAUACA
rnacentral:rRNA from 1 species